ACAGGUGGUGGUAUCUGACUGUGUGUGUGUACAGGUGGUAGUAUCUGACUGUGUGUGUGUGUACAGGUGGUAGUAUCUGACUGUGUGUGUGAUGUGUUUUGUGUUCACAGCUCUGACCGUCUGAUUGAUGACACAAUCAGCAUUGCGAUGGCGACGAAGGAGAAGCUGACGUCACAGCGAGGAGUUUACCGCUCGAUCCAGAGCAAGGUGAACAGCCUGGCACAUCGAUUUCCGCUGGUCAACAGCCUUCUGCAGCGAAUCGCCGUUCGCAAGCGGAGAGAUGCUCUGGUCCUGGCGACCAUCACCGCAACCUGCAUCAUCAUCCUGAUACUCUACAGCCUGCACUAGCACAACAACCACAACAACCACAACAACAACAACAACAAUCACAACUACAACCACAACAACUACUACAACUACUACAACUACUACAACUACUACAACCACCACAACCACUACCACCAUCACCGCAACCUGCAUCAUCAUCCUGAUACUCUACAGCCUGCACUAGCACAACAACAACAACCACAACAACAACCACAACAACAACCACAACAACUACCACAACAACAACUACAACUACUACAACUACUACCACAACUACUACCACCAUCACCGCAACCUGCAUCGUCAUCCUGAUAUUCUACAGCCUGCACUAGCACAACAACCACAACAACAACAACCACAACAACCACAACAACUACAACAACUACUACUACAUCUACUACCACUACAACUACUACAACCACAACCACUACUACCACCACCACCACCACCACAACAA